CCACGACCCCCUCCCGCCCUGCAGUUAAUUUCUGACCUACUCUCGGCCGCAGAUGCCGGCUGCAGGGAGGACCUGCAUCAGAUCUACGAUGGGUCUUGGAGUCUUGAUGUCCUCAAGUCGGGGGAGACACCCCAGAGUUUUACUACAUUGCCCAAGCUCGCCUCAAAUUGAAUUCAAGUGAUCCUCUUCCCUCAGCUUCCAAAUAGCCCAGACUAUAGACAGCUCCACUAUGCCUGAAAAGAGUUGCAUAGUUUCUGGUCAUUCCUAGAUCUUUGAUCUAUUUUGAGUUGAUUUUUGUUCCGGGCAAGACAUAAAGAUCUAAUCUCAUUCUUCUACAUAUGGAUAUCCAGUUUUCCCAGCACUAUUUGUUUAAAAUAAUGUCUUUUCUCCAAUGUGUAUUUUGGCACUUUUGCCAAGGAUCAGUUAACUGCAUCUGUGAGUCUGUGUGUUUGUUUUUAAUGCCAAUGAACCCCCCCCCCCCUUUUUAAAACACUCUGACAAUUUGUGUGUGGGUGUAUUGCUGGGGAUGGAAUCCAGAGCAGCCUCCAACCUACUGGGCAAGCACUCUACUGAGCUAUAUCCUCCAACCCAGGACUCUGGAAGUCUUAGUGAACUGGGAAAAGCAGCAAUACAAAGAGGAAAAACUAAUCCACAAGCCUCAGGGGAUGGGCUCCACUACAACUAUUAUCCCAUACCUUGAGUCCUGGCCAUAUGACACUGAGUUCUUCAAAUGUCUAGUCCAACACUGGGAUGUAUUAUAAGUUUAAAAUGUACACUGGAUUUCAAACUUUGCAGGAAAAAAAAAGAAUGUAAAAUUUUUUCUUUUUAAAUAUUUUUUAGUUGUUGAUGGACUUUUAUUUUCUUUAUUUAUAUGUGGUCCUGAGGAUUGAACUCAAUGCCUCACACAUGUAGGCAAGUGCUCUACCGCUGAGCCACAACCCCAGCCCCAAUAAUGUAAAAUCUUAUUUUAAAAUAUUAAUUACAUGUUGAAAUUA